CAUGUUAGGGAAGUUUUCAACUAUAAUCUCUUCCAGUAUUUUCUCUGGUCCUUUCUCUCUCUCUUCUCCUUCUGGGACUCCUAUAAUGCGAAUGUUGGUGCGUUUAACAUUGUCCCAGAGGUAUCAUAGGCUGUCUUCAGUUCUUUUCAUUCGUUUUUCCUUAUUGUUUUCCGCAUCAGUGAUUAUCACCAUUCUGUCUUCCAGGUCAUUUAUUCGCCCUUCUGCCUCAGUUAAUCUGCUCUUGGUUCCUUCUAGUGUAUUCUUCAUUUCAGUUAUUGUGUUGCAUAUCUCUGUUUGUUUGUUCUUUAAUUCUUCUAGGUCUUUGGUAAACUUUUCGAUCUUUGCAUCCAGUCUUUUUGCAAAGUCCUGGAUCAUCUUCACCAUCAGUAUUCUGAAUUCUUUUUCUGUAAGGGUGCCUAUCUCCUCUUCAUUUAGUUGUUUUUCUGGGGUUUUAUCCUGUCCCUUCAUCUGGUACAAAGUCCUCUGCUUUUUCAUUUUCUCUGUCUUUCUGUGGCUGUGGUUUUCAGUUCCACAAGACGAAACACUGCUGAUACUGCUUGAUACUGCUGUCCGCCCUCUUGUGGAGGAAGCUAUCUAGGAGGCUCCUGGGUGCUUCCUGAUGGGAGGGACUGAUGGUAGGUAGGGCUGGGUGGGCAGAGCUCAGUAAGAUUUUAAUCUGAUUUGGUGGGUGGAGCUCAGUAAAACUUUAAUCUGCUUGUCUGCUAAUGGGUGGGGCUGUGUUCACACCUUAUUGGUUGUUUGGCCUGAGGCUACUUAGCACUGGAGCUUACAGGCUCUUUGGUGGGGCUAAUGGCGGACUCUGGGAGGGUUCACACCAAUGAGCACUUCCCAGAACCCCUGCUACCAGUGCCCCUGUCUCCUCGGUGAGCCACAGCUGCCCCCCACCUGUGCAGGCAACCCUCCAACACCAGCAGUCCUGUAGAGGUCCUGCAAUCAAAUCCCGCUGGCUUUCAGAGUCUGAUUCUCUGGGGAUUCCUCCUCCCGUUGCUGGACUCCCAGGUCCCUAGGAUUCCCCAGACCUGCAGAAUCAUGAUUUCUAAAGAAAAGUCCCCAAGAAGCUGCAUUUUAAAUGAACCUUGGGCUGCGCUGUGUGGCUUGAGGGAACUUGGUUCCCUGACCAGCGAUCGAACCCCGUGCCCCCUGCAGUGGAAGCGGGAAUCCUAACCACUGGACCACCGGGGAACUCCCUAUAGCAUCACUGUAAAUAGAUACAUACCACCUCAUUUUUCGAAUAUGUGUUAUUUUUAACCAGUCCCAUUAUGGUGGCUUCAUUCUGCUUCAGUUUAGCGAAGCUGGAACUACAUCUCCCAGAAUGCCCUUCCCUGUAGGCUGGGUUACUGUUGCCCACGAGACAAAUGUAUGCAGGACUGGGUGGGCAGACGUGAAGGAGCAGAUGUUUUCGUGCUCCGAAGGUGAGCGUAUGGCCCUCACACACGUUGCGGCUGAUCUGCUGAUUCACCUCGUUGGCAUGAGGCAGCGGCCAGGCCUGCGGUUCCUCCAGUAACUCUGGGUCUCCUUCGGCUUCUGCAAAUCCUGGGAGAUGCACGUGAUGGGUGCCAGCUUCACCUGACAGUUACCCACAUCAUCCAGGCUGCAGGUGGUAACUGAUGCAGGUUCCACUCUGCUGCUCAUCUUUGCAUUCCGUGACUUGAUGUGUAUUUUUCCUUCCCAACUGUUGACAUCAGGCCCGACACCAGAAUUCAGAAAAGCCAGCCCCUUCCAUACGUGACCACCAAUGACCCGUUCCCACAGAUGUGCAAGGUCUCGUCUCUAUAAUAAGUCCCUCGGCCCCUUUCACCAUUUGUGGUUCUGCUUCUCUGACCAAAUUCUAACUGAACCCUAGCCCUCUCUGUUCAUCGGGUUCUCUGAGAAGCAGACACUGAGAUGGACUUAGGAGUGCAGUUGGGAGUAGCACCUGGGAAGAUAAGAAAAUGAAGAAGCGGGAUUGGCCAGAGAGCGCCUCCUAUCUCAAGGCAGACUUGGCAAAGGUUCAGCCAAGUUAGCAGGGAAUUCUGGAGCACAGUUUCCUGCUAGAGGAGUCCCAGGGGCGAGCAAAGCUCUCCAGGUCCUUGCACCUUGCUCAGUCCUCACCCUGGACUGCCACAAAAGAGCGUGCAUGGCCUCUGCGGAGAGUAAGGCGGAUCCUGGAAGGGUCAAAGCUGGAAUCUGCCAGCUCCAGCACUCCUUGCAAUGAAGGACAGGUUCAUUCUUGAAGGGACACCCCAGCAGCUCACCUCAGAGCUGCCUCGCCCACAGUCACACAUUUAAUUGACUCCGGUUUUUCACGUUAUUAUAAAUAAUACGUGAGUGAAUUAAUCUGGUAGGUCAAUCUUUUUGCACAUCCAUAAUUAUUUACUUAGGAUUAAUUAUUAGGAAUGAGAGUUCUGGGUCAAAAGUAGGGCCAGUGUUGAGGCUUUUGAUUUGUAAAAGCAGAGUGAUCCUCAGAAGAAUCGUGGUUUUAAUUAGAAUUUAAUCAACAGUGAGGCAGAACAUUUUUAUAUGAUUUUGGACAUUUGUGUUUCUUUUUAAAAAUUUCUUGUUCAUAUCCUUGCUUAUAUGAUACAUAUCUUUUUUAAAGGAUUUGAAAGAGCUAUUUAUAUGUAAAAGAUUUGAAUCCCUUGUCUGAUAUAUAUAACACAAAUAAUUCUUCCGUUUGCCCUUUGUCUUUAACUUUUUUCAUGUUUUUCUGGAGAUACAGAAUUUCUUAUAUAUUUAAUACUAUUAAUAGUUUCCUCUGUGAUUAUUCUAGAAAAGGCUUGGCCACUCAAGAUUACAUUAAUAUUCAAUUAUAUCCUUUUUUAAACCAUGUUAUUUUAUUUUGUGAUGUGAUGGGGGGGUCUAACAUAUAAUAUAUUAUCAUACUAUAUAAACUGUGUGUGUGUGUGUGUGUGUGUGUGUGUGUGUGUGUGCAUAGCUGUUCUUUCUUUCUUUCUUCCUUCCUUUCUUUUUCUUUCUUUAUUUGGCUGCAUCAGGUCUUCUUCUUUCUUUCUUCUUUUUUCUUUCUUUAUUUGGUUGCAGCAUGAAAACCUCUUAGUUGAAGCAUAUGGGAUCUAGUUCCCUGACCAAGGAUUGAACCCAGGCCGCCUGCAUUGGGAGGGCAGAGUCUUAGCCACUGGACCACCAGAGAAGUCCCUGUACUUUCUUUGUCUCAUUGAUCUUUCUGUAGCAAUAUCCCAACUGUUUGAAUUCUUUUGGUUUCAUAAUAAAUGGUAACUAUUUAACAUAUAGGUUAAGCAUACACAAAUACUCUUAUUAAGCA